UACGGGGGGGGGCAAGCGUUGGUUCGGAAUUACUGGGCGUAAAGGGCCAGUAGGCGGCCAACUAAGUCCGACGUGAAAUCCCCAGGCUUAACCUGGGAACUGCGUCGGAUACUGGAUGGCUUGAAUUCGGGAGAGGGAUGGCAGGAAUUCCAGGUGUAGCGGUGAAAUGCGUAGAUAUCUGGAGGAAUACCGGGUGGCGAAGGCGGCAUCCUGGACCGACAUUGACGCUGAACG
rnacentral:rRNA from 1 species